rnacentral:rRNA from 1 species
CGCGUAGGCGGUCUGCUAAGUCCGAUGUUAAAGACCGGGGCUCAACCCCGGCACGGCGUUGGAUACUGGCAGGCUUGACGGCUGGAGAGGCGAGUGGAAUUACCAGUGUAGCGGUGGAAUGCGUAGAUACUGGUAGGAACACCCAUGGCGAAGGCAGCUCGCUGGACAGCACGUGACGCUGAGGCGCGAAAGUGUGGGGAGCAAACC